UUCUUUCUUCUUCUAUCUUCGUGUCUGUUGAAUGUUUCUGACUUUUCCACUUCUUCUUCCAUCUUAUUCUCCUAUUAACUCAAACCAUUAUUUCAUUCAUCAAAACAAAACAGCUUAGCUCACAACACCCUUCCACUUCCCUAUCCCACUUUAUAUAAAACGAUGUCGCCAUAUGAAGCCCUCACACUGCUCAAACCACCACGAAAAAAACACCUUAAGCUACAUUGGCGAACCCAUAAUCUUUAAGUUCCACAGUUACAUGUGAAGAAUUUAUGUCCAGGAGAAGCGACUGGUUCGUUUUCCCCAGAGCUCAGGAACGGUGAUGAUCGUAAGGAAUUACUGGUGUCUGAUCCCGAAUCUUUGCAAGAUUGAACACCUAAAGCCUCCCGACAAUUCCUGAGACUCUUGCUUGAACCAAGUACAUGGAGUAUGUUCUGGAAUGAGACUCAAGAACUUUCUCUAGAGUUCACGGCUGGGAGACACUGUUGUGGCGGAUCAUGUGGUUUUUCGCCAAUGAUGGAAAGGUGAAGAAGUACCCAGUCAUUCAUCUCCCAAGGAGAAGCGGUUUUAAGAGGCUAUGAUCUCAAAACCAGAACCUGGGGAAGAAGAUAACUUGGAGAUUAAAGCAGUGGGAACAACGGAGGAACGUAAUGCGAACCUUAAUUAUGCAUGCGGUACGCCUACUGCUAUUAAUCUGCUCAACCCAGUUUUUUCAAGACUAAGUAUAAACAAACACACUACGACGAUCUCCCCUCCAAAUGUGUUUCAAGGGUACAAGUUUAACAUCUUCUACCCGGAUUUGGUAGACAAGAUAAAGGCUCCCAUUUACAAUAUAGAAAAAAUAUGAGACCAGCGCUGAAACUUAUAUAAAACGGUUCCAUACUGGUGCACUUUAUGGAGACAUUGUGAGUAUUCAAAACCACUAAUUCUGCUUUUUCAUCAUAAUCCAUGUGUUAUCUUGGUGAUCAAUUUUUUCCCCUUUGUGCAACUGAGUUUUGUUUGUAGCUUCAUUUGGGUUAUUGGGUUAGGUUUUACAUACUCAAUCUGGGGUGGCCAAACAUUAAUAUAGUUUUGUAUUCGCUGAUAACUGUUAGAAAUUUAUAAAUAUGAUGGUCAAAAGCAUGUUCAUAGCCAAUGCUGUGAAUCGUGAGA